GGCUGCAGCUCAGGGGGAGAACAGCUGCUUUGCAUGUAGAAGGUCCCUGGUUCAAUCAAUGGCAACUCCAGGCAGGGUCA